GGAGUGCCCGUCCCCGGGCAGGGUGCGAGAGCUCUCCUGUGCCCAGUGCCCACUUGGCAACUUUCUCUUGCAGAACUUGGUGAAGACGACUCUCUGGGACUUCCCGGCAGCGUCCCUGCACCUGAAGGUGAUUCUGGCCCUGGAGCAGUGGAGGUAAGAGCGAGGAGCUGCGGGGGCUGUGAGGCAGGAUGACGUUCCUCCUGUCGGCUGAGCAGCUUGGGAAGAUCAGGAACGCAGAGCAGGCACUGCUGCAGCUGCAGGUAACUUGCUGUCCCUUCCCAGCACAAGCUGUGUGCUGGCAGCAGCCGUGAUCCUGCAUCUCCGUCCCUCUCCCUGGCCUUCAGCAAAGGCUGGGAAGGGAAGUUCAGUCGCCCUAACUGGGACUCCCCUUUUUUCCCCGUGCUCGUUCCAGCCAAGGCCAUGAACAGGCUGUUGCAGACAGAUGACCCUGCGAGCUUGUGUGAGGGGCUGAGUGCUCGCAGCGACGCCUCUCAGCAGCUCCAGACCUCCAUCCACAUCGCAGAGGUAAGGAGUGCCCUCAAGCUUGCCUGAUGUUCUGAAGAGCUGGAGCGGAGCCGUGACGGGAUCUCGAUCUCUCCUGGUUCUUGCAUCUUUCCAGAUGGUUUGCAAAAACGUCCCCAAAGAACAGGCUGCAGACUUCAUGAAUGCCAUCCAGGAGCCCUUCCGGCGUGCCAGAGGAAGCCGCGUGCGUGCUGCAGGCAACUGGAUGCUCACCUUUCUGGAAACAUGGGGAAAGGACAUUGGUCCAGACGUGCGAGGAAUCCUCUCCACCCUGCACACCUGCACAGAGUCCAUGCGGGAGCCCUCGUUCAUGUACUUCGUGCACCAUGUGGUGCUGAUCCUGGCCCGCCAUCACGAGAGGCUCACGAUGAACGUCAUCCUCGAGCAGUUUGUGCCUAUGGACAGGUACAUGCGCUCCUCCCUUUCCUGCUGGGCUCAGAGAGCCGUAGCUUGCCUCCCCUCCCCUAGGGCGAUCCAAGGGAAGCAGCAGCUCCUUGUCCUCCACCCAAAUGUCGGAGGUGUGCUGGUACCACUGGGAACAGAGCAUACGGGCUCAUGGUUGCACAUCUCUUGGCAGAAACACACUGGAGCUGUGGAGGACUCUGGGGAGAGACAGCAUUGGCAUCAGUGUGCUGAAGCGCUUAGCGAGGAAGCUGAGGAGAGUGGGAGACGACAGCUCCCAGCCCAGCUCGCCCAGUGGCAGGCUGCACGCCCACCAGCCUUCUGCGGAGUCCUUGACUGUACGUUCAGAGGCUUUGUGCCUGCUCCCCCACUCCCAGGCCAAGGGCAAGGCGUUGGGUGCCCUUUGCAAGCGUCUCUGGACGCUGCCAGGACACUGCAGCAGGACACUGCAGCAGGACACUGCAGCAGUGUCCUGGCAGUAGCAGUUCGGGACGGCCGGGACAGCCGCUGCUCCCAGGCUGCAAGGCUGUCCUGGAGAUGGAGAUGGGGCGUGCAGGCAGUAGAAGUGCCCCAGGCAGCCAGCGGGCCGGGGCUGGUGGCAAAGCUCUUGUUUAACGGGUGCUUGUCGGGGGGUCUCAUUUCCCUGCAGGUCACCCGUGCCAUCUCUGAAAUGGUGUCCAUGCAGUCCAAGGAGGGGGUCCAGAGCUUGCUUCCCUCCCUCCUCCCUGGGCUCCUGCUGCAGCUCAGCAAGGCAUUGGGGGAAGAGAUGCUGUUUGCUCCCCUCAGCCCCUGGAGAGGGCACGCUGAGGAUCAGCGGCAAGAGGGCAACGUGUGCAGGUCAGGAGCAG
rnacentral:lncRNA from 1 species